rnacentral:rRNA from 1 species
UACGUAGGGGGCUAGCGUUGUCCGGAUUUAUUGGGCGUAAAGAGCGUGUAGGCGGCCAGGUAGGUCUGCUGUGAAAACUCGAGGCUCAACCUCGAGACGUCGGCGGAAACCAUCUGGCUAGAGUCCGGAAGAGGAGAGUGGAAUUCCCGGUGUAGAGGUGAAAUUCGUAGAUAUCGGGAGGAACACCAGUGGCGAAGGCGGCGACCUGGACGGACACUGACGCUGAGACGCGAAAGCGUGGGGAGCAAACAGG